rnacentral:rRNA from 1 species
UACGUAGGGUGCAGGCGUUAAUCGGAAUUACUGGGCGUAAAGCGUGCGCAGGCGGUUUGCUAAGACAGGUGUGAAAAUCCCCCGGGCUUAACCUGGGAACUGCGCUUGUUACUGGCAGGCUUGAGUGUGGCAGAGGGGGGGUGGAAUUCCACGUGUAGCAGUGAAAUGCGUAGAGAAUGUGGAGGAACACGAUGGCGGAAGGGACAGCCCCCC